rnacentral:lncRNA from 1 species
AGUUCUGUUGUUGAUAUAGUUAAAUAUAUAUUGUGUUGGGCUAGCUCUAUAGUUCUGUUGUUGAUAUACUUCAAUAUAUACUGUGUUGGGCUAGCUCUAUAGUUCUGUUGUUGAUAUACUUCAAUAUAUACUGUGUUGGGUGAGUUCUAAAGUUCUGUUGUUGGUAUACUUCAAUAUAUACUGUGUUGGGCUAGUUCUAUAGUUCUGUUGUUGGUAUACUUCAAUAUAUACUGUGUUGGGUGAGUUCUAUAGUUCUGUUGUUGGUAUACUUCAAUCUAUACUGUGUUGGGUGAGUUCUAUAGUUCUGUUGUUGGUAUACUUCAAUAUAUACUGUGUUCGGUGAGUUCUAUAGUUCUGUUGUUGGUAUACUUCAAUAUAUACUGUGUUGGGCUAGCUCUAUAGUUCUGUUGUUGAUAUACUUCAAUAUAUACUGUGUUGGGUGAGUUCUAUCGUUCUGUUGUUGGUAUACUUCAAUAUAUACUGUGUUGGGCUAGCUCUAUAGUUCUGUUGUUGAUAUACUUCAAUAUAUACUGUGUUGGGUGAGUUCUAUAGUUCUGUUGUUGAUAUACUUCAAUAUAUACUGUGUUGGGUGAGUUCUAAAGUUCUGUUGUUGGUAUACUUCAAUAUAUACUGUGUUGGGCUAGUUCUAUAGUUCUGUUGUUGGUAUACUUCAAUAUAUACUGUGUUGGGUGAGUUCUAUAGUUCUGUUGUUGGUAUACUUCAAUAUAUACUGUGUUGGGCUAGUUCUAUAGUUCUGUUGUUGGUAUACUUCAAUAUAUACUGUGUUGGGUGAGUUCUAUAGUUCUGUUGUUGGUAUACUUCAAUAUAUACUGUGUUCGGUGAGUUCUAUAGUUCUGUUGUUGGUAUACUUCAAUAUAUACUGUGUUGGGCUAGCUCUAUAGUUCUGUUGUUGAUAUACUUCAAUAUAUACUGUGUUGGGUGAGUUCUAAAGUUCUGUUGUUGGUAUUCUUCAAUAUAUACUGUGUUGGGUUAUAAACUGGGUAAUUUGUAAGUUUCCAUUUUCCGGAAACUUGAAGGAAAUGUAGAGAAACAGUCCGGAAACCUAAUUGAAACUUAAGUUUCUAUUUUGUUUCCGUAAGCUUUCCAGGGUCCGGAAACCAAGUUAUUUUUCCUGUGUUAGUUUUAUAAAUGUUUUUGCUGGCAUGCUUCAAUCUAUACUGUGUCAUGAACAUCUAGUAUCACCACUUUUUUGUAGCAAUUCAUAAACAUAUGCUUUUGAUUAAGUGUUAAUCAGACAAUGGGUUCCGAUAACAGUAGAGGGUACCUGUGAUUGGGGAAAUGUUUCUCUUUAUUUCUGUUUUGACAAUCACAGCAUGAACUGAGAUUUAUUAUAUUCUAGUUUCCAACAAAUGCUAUCAAAUUAUAUUUUCUGUGAUAUUAAAAACAACAUGAGCCUGUUAACUUUCUUGUUAAAAUCAUUUUUAUAUGAACUAGUGUGUAUCCCCAAGUUAUCAAUUUGGCACAGGUGUGUAUUGUGUUAUGUUAUACUGAUCUAGUUAAUCAAUGACAUGGAGCUCCAGGUGGGUAGAGUUGAGUAUAGCAUCCUUCAGUGUGCAAGUACUUUGACAAUAGCAGCUCCAGGUAGGUAGAGUUGACAAUAGCAUCCUUCAGUGUGCAAGGAGUUUGACAAUAGUAGCUCCAGGUGGGUAGAGUUGAGUAUGGCAUCCUUCUGUGUGCAAGUACUUUGACAAUAGCAGCUCCAGGUGGGUAGAGUUGACAAUAGCAUCCUUCAGUGUGCAAGGAGUUUGACAAUAGUAGCUCCAGGUGGGUAGAGUUGACAAUAGCAUCCUUCAGUGUGCAAGUAGUUUGACAAUAGCAGCUCCAGGUGGGUAGAGUUGAGUAUGGCAUCCUUCAGUGUGCAAGGAGUUUGACAAUAGCAGCUCCAGGUGGAUAGAGAUGACAAUAGCAUCCUUCAGUGUGCAAGUAGUUUGACAAUAGCAGCUUCAGGUGGGUACAGUUGACAAUAGUAUCCUUCAGUGUGCAAGUAGUUUGACAAUAGUAGCUCCAGGUGGGUAGAGUUGACAAUAGCAUCCUUCAGUGUGCAAGUAGUUUGACAAUAGCAGCUCCAGGUGGGUAGAGUUGAGUAUAGCAUCCUUCAGUGUGCA